rnacentral:tRNA from 1 species
GGGUAUAGUUCAGUGAUAGAGCACAUGCUUAGCAUGCGUGAGGUCCUGGGUUCAAUCCCCAGUAAAUCCA